rnacentral:rRNA from 1 species
AUUGAACGCUGGCGGAAUGCUUUACACAUGCAAGUCGAACGGCAGCACGGGGCAACCUGGUGGCGAGUGGCGAACGGGUGAGUAAUACAUCGGAACGUGCCCAGUCGUGGGGGAUAACGUAGCGAAAGUUACGCUAAUACCGCAUACGAUCUAUGGAUGAAAGCGGGGGAUCGCAAGACCUCGCGCGAUUGGAGCGGCCGAUGUCAGAUUAGGUAGUUGGUGGGGUAAAGGCCUACCAAGCCGACGAUCUGUAGCUGGUCUGAGAGGACGACCAGCCACACUGGGACUGAGACACGGCCCAGACUCCGACGGGAGGCAGCAGUGGGGAAUUUUGGACAAUGGGCGCAAGCCUGAUCCAGCCAUUCCGCGUGCAGGAUGAAGGCCUUCGGGUUGUAAACUGCUUUUGUACGGAACGAAAAGGCUCUGGUUAAUACCUGGGGCUCAUGACGGUACCGUAAGAAUAAGCACCGGCUAACUACGUGCCAGCCGCCGCGGUAAUAC